GUCCAAUUUAAGUAUUUUCUAUAAUUCUCUGACGUUUUAACCUGAGAUUUACAAUAAUUUAGUAUUACAAAAACUAGCGACAGCCUUACUAAACCCGAUUUUUUAAACAAUCUCUCAAAAACAAAUAUGUUGAUAAAAGUAAAAUGUGCUUUUGCGCAAAGUUCUGGCUCAUAUUGAUUAAGGAAAAAGGAUAAAUAAAUGAACCCUUUUGGUUCAAUAUUACAUGUAAACGAUUACUCAAACGUGUGAGUACAAUGUAGUUUUGUCAAUAUAAACUCAUCAGAUUUAUUUGAUGAACUCAUGAUGAAAACACCACUGACAUGUGUGUACUAUU
rnacentral:lncRNA from 1 species